GUCCACGCCCUAAACUAUGAUCACUCGAUGUGUGCGAUACACUGUACGCGUCUGAGCGAAAGCAUUAAGUGAUCCACCUGGGGGAGUACGACCGCAAGGUUGAAACUCAAAGGAAUUGACGGGGGCCCGCACAAGCGGAGGAGCAUGUGGUUUAAUUCGAUGAUACGCGAGGAACCUUACCAGGGCUUGAAAGUUAGUGAAUGAUGUGGAAACAUGUCAGUCAGCAAUGACACGAAACUAGGUGCUGCAUGGCUGUCGU
rnacentral:rRNA from 1 species